AAAUCAAAUAUUAAUUAUCAAUAUGCUACAACUAAACAAACAUAAAAACCAUGGAAUGAUACCUCCCUUCAACUUAACUGUGUGGCUGUAGAGGCAGCCAUCACACUGUGACACCCAUGGUGCACUGUGAGCAGGUAUACAGGCCCACAGAGCAUGCAGAUAAUUAUCUGUGACACCCACUGUACACUGUGAGCAGGUAUACAGGCCCACAGAGCAUGCAGAUAAUUAUCUGUGACACCCACUGUACACUGUGAACAGGUAUACAGGCCCACAGAGCAUGCAGAUAAUUAUCUGUGACACCCACUGUACACUGUGAACAGGUAUACAGGCCCACAGAGCAUGCAGAUAAUUAUCUGUGACACCCAUUGUACACUGUGAGCAGGUAUACAGGCCCACAGAGCAUGCAGAUAAUUAUCUGUGACACCCAUGGUGCACUGUGAGCAGGUAUACAGGCCCACAGAGCAUGCAGAUAAUUAUCUGUGACACCCACUGUACACUGUGAGCAGGUAUACAGGCCCACAGAGCAUGCAGAUAAUUAUCUGUGACACCCAUUGUACACUGUGAGCAGGUAUACAGGCCCACAGAGCAUGCAGAUAAUUAUCUGUGACACCCAUUGUACACUGUGAGCAGGUAUACAGGCCCACAAAGCAUACAGAUAAUUAUCUGUGACACCCACUGUACACUGUGAGCAGGUAUACAGGCCCACAGAGCAUGCAGAUAAUUAUCUGUGACACCCACUGUACACUGUGAACAGGUAUACAGGCCCACAGAGCAUGCAGAUAAUUAUCUGUGACACCCAUGGUGCACUGUGAGCAGGUAUACAGGCCAACAGAGCAUGCAGAUAAUUAUCUGUGACACCCCUUGUACACUGUGAGCAGGUAUACAGGCCAACAGAGCAUGCAGAUAAUUAUCUGUGACACCCAUUGUACACUGUGAGCAGGUAUACAGGCCCACAGAGCAUGCAGAUAAUUAUCUGUGACUCCCAUUGUACACUGUGAGCAGGUAUACAGGCCCACAGAGCAUGCAGAUAAUUAUCUGUGACACCCCUUGUACACUGUGAGCAGGUAUACAGGCCAACAGAGCAUGCAGAUAAUUAUCUGUGACACCCAUUGUACACUG